rnacentral:rRNA from 1 species
GCUACCAUGCAAGUCGAGCGAGAGACUUCGGUCUCUAGCGGCGGACGGGUGAGUAACACGUGGGUAACCUGCCUCAUAGUGGGGGAUAGCCUUCCGAAAGGAAGAUUAAUACCGCAUAUACUCUCGAUACCGCAUGGUAUUUAGAGGAAAGGAGCAAUCCGCUAUGAGAUGGACCCGCGGCGCAUUAGCUAGUUAGUGAGGUAACGGCUCACCAAGGCGACGAUGCGUAGCCGACCUGAGAGGGUGAUCGGCCACAUUGGAACUGAGACACGGUCCAGACUCCUACGGGAGGCAGCAGUGGGGAAUAUUGCACAAUGGGCGAAAGCCUGAUGCAGCAACGCCGCGUGAGUGAUGACGGCCUUCGGGUUGUAAAGCUCUGUCUUUUGGGACGAUAAUGACGGUACCAAAGGAGGAAGCCACGGCUAACUACGUGCCAGCAGCCGCGGUAAUACGUAGGUGGCAAGCGUUGUCCGGAUUUACUGGGCGUAAAGGAUGCGUAGGUGGAUAUUUAAGUGGGAUGUGAAAUACCCGAGCUCAACUUGGGUGCUGCAUUCCAAACUGGAUAUCUAGAGUGCAGGAGAGGUAAGUGGAAUUCCUAGUGUAGCGGUGAAAUGCGUAGAGAUUAGGAAGAACACCAGUGGCGAAGGCGACUUACUGGACUGUAACUGACACUGAGGCAUGAAAGCGUGGGGAGCAAACAGGAUUAGAUACCCUGGUAGUCCACGCCGUAAACGAUGGGUACUAGGUGUAGGAGGGUCCAACCUUCUGUGCCGCCGUUAACACAAUAAGUACCCCGCCUG